rnacentral:rRNA from 1 species
CACCAGGUGGGAAUUUUUGCCACAAUGGGGCCAAACCCUUGAUGCAACCCAUCCCCGGUUUUAUGAAAGAAGCCCUUCCGGGUUUGAAAAAGUAUUUUCAACCAGUGAGGAAGGGGGGUGUCGUUAAAUAGCGGCAUUUCUUUGACGUUAGCUGCAGAAGAAGCCCCGGCUAAAUCCGUGCCAGCAGCCGCGGUAAUACGGAGGGUGCGAGCGUUAAUCGGAAUUACUGGGCGUAAAGCGCAUGCAGGUGGUUUGUUAAGUCAGAUGUGAAAGCCCGGGGCUCAACCUCGGAACUGCAUUUGAAACUGGCAAACUAGAGUACUGUAGAGGGGGGUAGAAUUUCAGGUGUAGCGGUGAAAUGCGUAGAGAUCUGAAGGAAUACCAGUGGCGAAGGCGGCCCCCUGGACAGAUACUGACACUCAGAUGCGAAAGCGUGGGGAGCAAACAGGAUUAGAUACCCUGGUAGUCCACGCCGUAAACGAUGUCUACUUGGAGGUUGUGGCCUUGAGCCGUGGCUUUCGGAGCUAACGCGUUAAGUAGACCGCCUGGGGAGUACGGUCGCAAGAUUAAAACUCAAAUGAAUUGACGGGGGCCCGCACAAGCGGUGGAGCAUGUGGUUUAAUUCGAUGCAACGCGAAGAACCUUACCUACUCUUGACAUCCAGAGAACUUUUCAGAGAUGAAUUGGUGCCUUCGGGAACUCUGAGACAGGUGCUGCAUGGCUGUCGUCAGCUCGUGUUGUGAAAUGUUGGGUUAAGUCCCGCAACGAGCGCAACCCUUAUCCUUGUUUGCCAGCGAGUAAUGUCGGGAACUCCAGGGAGACUGCCGGUGAUAAACCGGAGGAAGGUGGGGACGACGUCAAGUCAUCAUGGCCCUUACGAGUAGGGCUACACACGUGCUACAAUGGCGCAUACAGAGGGCAGCCAACUCGCGAGAGUGAGCGAAUCCCAAAAAGUGCGUCGUAGUCCGGAUUGGAGUCUGCAACUCGACUCCAUGAAGUCGGAAUCGCUAGUAAUCGUAGAUCAGAAUGCUACGGUGAAUACGUUCCCGGGCCUUGUACACACCGCCCGUCACACCAUGGGAGUGG